ensembl:lncRNA
GCACCAUGUAAAAAUCCUAGUUCUCUGCUUUUCCAAAGGAAAGGAGAAUGCGGUUAAGACUGUCCCCAUCGUGUAUGCAGUGUGAAUACAUGCUAUAGCUUAACAUCUGCUUAAUUCACUGAAAACCGUGUGUAAAAUUUGAUUUGCAUAAUUAAAAGCUGGAACUGUCAGUCAGUGAGCAGUUUAUAAUCAUGUUCGUGACACAUUGAUGAGAUUUUCGCUUAGGCCGACUAAUUUUGAAUAUUAAUUAAAUGAGCAACGCUGUUGACAACUAAUGUUCAGCCCUUGCAGUUUCAAGCAGCUCGUGAGCGGUGGGAACUGAAUGUGUUGAUGGAAUUACGCUCCCUUGAGCCUGAACGUUCAAGUGAUGUCCGUUCCGAUGCUGGUCACUUCCUGGCGGCGGCAUGGUAAGUGACUGAUAGCAUUUUCAUGAAGGAAGCCUUAAUUAAAGUUUCUGAAUGUUAAAUGAACAUAAACGGAGGACAAACGCUGAAGUGGGAUAAACAUUUUGGUGCUCAUGUAAUGCAAUGCCUCGCGACAACAAAUGCAGCUUUGUAUGGAUGCAGCGUUGUUCCCUGGAACACUGCCUGGAGAAAAACACACCACAGGCUGUGCAGCUUUUCACAAGACAUUAAUUGAUGGACUGGAGUGCUUGUGGAGUACUCUCAUUCUGACGGCACCCAUUCACUGCAGAGGAUCCACUGGUGAGCAAUUGAUGCCAUAUUUCUCCAAAUCUGUUCAGAUGAUAAUACAAACUCAUCUACAUCAUUGAAUUUU